GACAUCGAUGUCUAGGGGUUCUGAGAGGAUUGUCCCCCACACUGGUACUGAGACACGGACCAGACUCCUACGGGAGGCAGCAGUGAGGAAUAUUGGUCAAUGGGCGAGAGCCUGAACCAGCCAUGCCGCGUGCAGGAUGAAGGUUCUAUGAAUCGUAAACUGCUUUUCUACAGGAAGAAACCUACCCUCGUGAGGGUAGUUGCCGGUACUGUAGGAAUAAGCACCGGCUAACUCCGUGCCAGCAGCCGCGGUAAUACGGAGGGUGCAAGCGUUAUCCGGAUUUAUUGGGUUUAAAGGGUGCGUAGGCGGAAUAUUAAGUCAGUGGUGAAAUCCUGCGGCUCAACCGUAGAACUGCCAUUGAUACUGAUAUUCUUGAAUGUAGUUGAGGUAGGCGGAAUGUGUAAUGUAGCGGUGAAAUGCUUAGAUAUUACACAGAACACCGAUUGCGAAGGCAGCUUACUAAACUAUGAUUGACGCUGAGGCACGAAAGCGUGGGGAGCGAACAGGAUUAGAUACCCUGGUAGUCCACGCUGUAAACGAUGAUCACUCGUUGUUUGCGAUAUAUUGUAAGCGACUGAGCGAAAGCAUUAAGUGAUCCACCUGGGGAGUACGUUCGCAAGAAUGAAACUCAAAGGAAUUGACGGGGGCCCGCACAAGCGGAGGAACAUGUGGUUUAAUUCGAUGAUACGCGAGGAACCUUACCUGGGUUUAAAUGUAGGUUGCAUGAACGGGAAACUGUUCUUUCUUUCGGGACUACCUACAAGGUGCUGCAUGGUUGUCGUCAGCUCGUGCCGUGAGGUGUCGGGUUAAGUCCCAUAACGAGCGCAACCCCUAUCGUUAGUUGCCAUCAGGUCAUGCUGGGGACUCUAACGAGACUGCCGGUGUAAACCGUGAGGAAGGUGGGGAUGACGUCAAAUCAGCACGGCCCUUAUAUCCAGGGCUACACACGUGUUACAAUGGUCGGUACAAAGGGCAGCUACCUGGUGACAGGAUGCUAAUCUCUAAAGCCGAUCACAGUUCGGAUCGAAGUCUGCAACUCGACUUCGUGAAGUUGGAUUCGCUAGUAAUCGCGCAUCAGCCACGGCGCGGUGAAUACGUUCCCGGGCCUUGUACACACCGCCCGUCAAGCCAUGGAAGCUGGGGGUGCCUGAAGUCUGUAACCGUAAGGAGCGGCCUAAGGUAAAACUGGUAACUGGGGCUAAGUCGUAACAAGGUA
rnacentral:rRNA from 1 species